CAGACUGGGAAAAGAUAUUUAUAAUCUAGUAGAGGGCUUGGUCCAGAAUAUAUAAAGAACUCUUAAAACCCAGCAAUAAUAACUCAAUUGAAAAAUGAGCAAAAGAUCUGAAUAGACACUUCACCAUAGGAGACAUAUAAAUGGCAAGUAAGCAAUAAAAAGAUGCUUAACAGUAUUUGUUAUUGGAAAGUGCAAAUAAAUGCCACAAUGAGAUAUCACUCACUAUACAUACAUUAGACUGGCUAAAAUGGAAAAAAACAAAAAAAGACAACAAUUGUUGACAAGGAUAUGGGACAAGAGGAACUUUCUGGUGGGUAUGCAAAAUGGUAUAGCCACUUUGGAAUAGAAUUUGGCAGUUACCUAUAAAAUUAAACAUAGACUUAGCACACUACCCAGCAAUCACACUUCUCAGUAUUUACCUAAGUGAAUUUAAAACAUAUGUCAACAAAAUGUCUAAACGAGUUUGAGUGGAGCAAGCUGAGUGGUUGUGUGAUCCCAUCCUGGAGACUGGUAGCACUUGCAGCAUGGCUGACCAACUGACUGAAGAGCAGAUCGCAGAAUUCAAAGAAGCUUUUUCACUAUUUGACAAGGAUGGUGAUGGAACUAUAACAACAAAGGAAUUGGUAACUGUACUGAGGUCUCUUGGGCAGAAUCUCACAGAAGCAGAGUUACAGGACAUGAUUCAUGAAGUAGAUGUUGAUAGUAAUGGCGAAACUGACUUCCUGGAAUUUCUGACAAUGAUGGCAAGAAAAAUGAAAGACACAGACAGUGAAGAAGAAAUUAGAGAAGCAUUCCAUGUGUUUGAAAAGGAUGACAAUAGCUAUAUUAGUGCAGCAGAGCUUCACCAUGUGAUGACAAACCUUGGAGAGAAGUUAACAGAUGAAGAGGUUGAUGAAAUGAUCAAGGAAGCAGAUAGUGAUGGUGAUGGUCAAGUAGACCAUGAAGAGCUUGUAAAAAUGAUGACAGCAAAAUUAAGACAUUGUACAGAAUGUAACAGACAUUUAACUCUGGAUAUGGAUUUGCCUUUCCUCCAUGCAGUGUUUCUGCCAAAACUACCAGGCAUGGACUUACAGACUACGCCUGGAUUUACAGAAUGCCUUAUUCACCAUCACAAUUUCCACACAGCACUGCUUCUGAUCACACAAUUCAUUUUACAGCAAAAGACGUACGACAAUGGGCCCAUAUGCAUGGAAUUUACUGGCCUUAAGCGUGUCUCCCACCAUCCUGAAGCAACUGUCUUGCCAGACGGUAGAAUGGUCUUUUGA